GCAGGCAGGCUGAGUCUGGGGCAGGCAGCCAAACAGUUUGGGGUCCCAAAAACGAGCCUGAGUGACCGAGUCAGUGGAAGGGUGGCCUCUGACUGUGUGCACGGUCAGAGGCCACUUCUCACCCCUGCAGAUGAAGAUUCCCUGGUGGAGUACUGCCUUUACUCUGCCAGUCAUGGGUUUCCACUGACAAAGCCUCAGGUUCAGUCUUUUGCGACAGCAAUUUACAAUCAGCGCUGUCCAGAAGAGAGAAGGGGGAAGUUGGGCCAGACGUGGUGGCUCAACUUCCGCAGGAGGCAAGGCCAGCGCUUCACUUCUCGGACCCCAGACAAUAUUGACCGUGGGAGGGCAUCCUGUGCCAAGAGGGGGCCGAUUGAAGAAUACUUCAGGCUCCUCACUACCACCAUGGAGGAGCACGGGUUGAGGGAGAAACCCCGUCAAGUCUAUAACUGCGAUGAGACGGGGUUUCAGCUGGACUCGUCGAGACGAAAGGUCCUCGUGCCCCGGGGGACAAAACAUGCUUACAGGCAGGCCCAGGGGACCAGGGACCACGUCACCGUCCUGGCCUGCCUCAACGCGGCUGGGGAGGAUAUCCCCCCUUUCAUAAUUUACAAGGGGGGAUAUCCCGGGGGGCCCUAUAACAAGGAGGGGGUCCCCGACGCCCUCUACGGGAAGUCACCGGCAGGGUACAUGGACAGUGAGCUGUUCAGGAAGUGGUUUGUCGGGCAUUUCCUGAAGUUCGCCGCGGAGGAGCGCCCGCUGCUGCUUGUUUUUGAUGGGCACAAAUCCCACCUGGAUCCAGAGCUGGUCCGGGUGGCACAGAGGGAGGAGGUCAUUCUCCUGUGCCUACCACCACACACAUCUCACAUCCUGCAGCCUCUGGAUAUGAGUUUCUUUGGACCCUUGAAGGCAGAUUUCUCUGGAAUUACAGGAGAUCUGUCGGUCAUGAGCCACUCCUUCUUGGUUUCCAAGAAGGAGUUUUCAAGGGUCCUUAGGGACUCAUAUCAGAGGGUGAAGGAUCGGGGAGUGGUGGUGGCUGGGUUCAGGAAGUGUGGCCUCUACCCUCUGGACCCGGAAGCCAUUGAUUGGUCACGGGUCAUGCCAUCCGGACCGCGGCGUGGGACCUCCUCGCCACCUCCGCCAACCCCAUCAGCAUCUUCCUGGGCCAUGCCUGAUGUUACCCCCCCAUCCCAACACCCCCCCACACACCAGAGUCCACCCCCUGUCUCUUGUCCACCCCCUGUCUCUUGUCCACCCCCUGUCUCUUGUCCACCCCAUGUCUCUUGUCCACCCCAUGUCUCUUGUCCACCCAAUCCCUACUCUAACCAUCCCCUGGUAACAUCAGGCAGGAUAUCAGUAGACCUGGCCCACCUCCUGCCCGAGGUGCGUUAUAAUACCACCAAGGGCAGGAGGAAUACCACCAAGGCCAGGAUACUGACGGCUCAGGAGAUGUCUGAUGCCAUCGAGGAGGCGGAGGACCGUGCUGCAAGGCGGGAGGCCCAAGCUCUGGCCAGAGAGCAGCGGCGGGCCGAAAACAACGGCCCGACAGCCACUUCCUCUACCCUGCCUGGUGGCUCCCGUCCCAGCCGCAGAACAGCAUCCCCCAGGGCUGCCUCGGCCUCCAGCGCCGGCCUUUCCAUCGCCGGUCCCUCAACCCGCUCGGCCCCCUCUAGUUCCUCCCACGGUCACCAGCUGCCUGCCCCCAGCGGAACAUCCCCACCUAGCCUGCCUGCACCUGGCUGGCUACUGGAUGAGCCAUCAACAUCUGCCUUCGGCCUCCGAGGGUCCAGAAUGUCUUCCUCUCCCUCCCAAUGUAAAUGCUUUAUAUCAUUGAUAAAAACAAGCAAUGUCCUAAGAUGCUGGUGAUAUUAGGGAUGAUGAUGAGUAAACAACACGUCAUCUUGUUUAUACAGCCUGCAGACAGACAGCUGCGCCAUUGUCCAGCUCCUCCCAGCCGUCUGCUGGACCCAUGGCAUCCACUGGUAUUGUAUUUAACAUUAACAGUCUUUGUGUGCCAUCCCAUGAUAUUCAAAACAUGUUCUUAAAUAUAUUUUUUCUAUGAGUAGGUCACACCAAUGUGGAAGAUCUGUGUGGCCAGUGCAGGGAACCUGACCCUCCGGGCGCCUGCUCGGAGGGAUUGGUGCCGUGGGUCCAGUGCAACAAAUGCGCAAAAUGGUUUCACACCAUUUGUGUCGGCUGGGAGGAGCUGGACAAAGAUGAAUUUUGGUGUUUUUGGUGCCUGAAUUUGUUUGAUAAGUUUGUUAUUUAAUUUGUUUUUAA
rnacentral:lncRNA from 15 species